GACGUAGGGGGCGAGCGUUGUCCGGAAUCAUUGGGCGUAAAGAGCGUGUAGGCGGCUUGGCAAGUCUGACGUGAAAGCCCGACCGGCUCAACCGGCGGAUUGUCGUUGGAAACCGCGUGGCUAGAGUCCGGUAGGGGAGUGUGGAAUUCCGGUCGUAGCGGUGAAAUGCGCAGAUAUCGGGAGGAACACCAGUGGCGAAGGCGGCUCACUGGCCGGUACUGACGCUGAGGUGCGAAAGCGUGGGGAGCAAACAGGG
rnacentral:rRNA from 1 species